rnacentral:miRNA from 1 species
UCCUGCACCGCUGAAGUCAAUG